rnacentral:rRNA from 1 species
AAUCCAUAGGUUAAUGAGGCGAACCGGGGGAACUGAAACAUCUAAGUACCCCGAGGAAAAGAAAUCAACCGAGAUUCCCCCAGUAGCGGCGAGCGAACGGGGAGGAGCCCAGAGCCUGAAUCAGCAUGUGUGUUAGUGGAAGCGUCUGGAAAGGCGCGCGAUACAGGGUGACAGCCCCGUACACAAAAGCGCAUGUGCUGUGAGCUCGAUGAGUAGGGCGGGACACGUGGUAUCCUGUCUGAAUAUGGGGGGACCAUCCUCCAAGGCUAAAUACUCCUGACUGACCGAUAGUGAACCAGUACCGUGAGGGAAAGGCGAAAAGAACCCCGGCGAGGGGAGUGAAAAAGAACCUGAAACCGUGUACGUACAAGCAGUGGGAGCCCCACCACUAAGCCAGUGGUGAACUCCACAUACGCAUCCUUUGCUGAGGAUACGGUUAACGGAGCGAAAGCGACGUUCAACCGCAAAAGAAGCAGAGGGGGCUUAG